rnacentral:lncRNA from 1 species
AUGGAUACAUAGAAAUACACAUUUAAAACAAGUGAAACUGCGAGCUACUGCUCACUGAUGAUACCCCCGCCGCAAGUGGAUAAUAUUAAUAGUGUAAAAAUAUGCAAGUGUUCAGUAAACAGGAAGUUGUCGAGUGAUGAAUCUGAAAACGCAUCACACGGUAUAGCUGACUUAUAUAAAUCCUGAAACCAAAUUUCAGAAAUCCUUGUAUUGUAGUUCCUGAGAAAAAUGUGACGAAAAUUUUCAACUUGGCUGUCAUGUGUAAAAUCAUACCAGUGUUCGGUAAACAGGAAGUUGUCUAGUGAUGAAUCUGAAAACGCAUCACACGGUAUGGCUGACAUAUAUAAAUGUUGAUACCAAAUUACA